CGUGAACGUGACUAUUCAGAGAUGGGUUUUGAUCAAGAAGAUCAUCAAAGGGAACGUAAGGUGUCUUACCCGAUGAGAGAUCGAGAGUUUCAGCGGGAAGAAAAACAUUACGGCCAAUCAUGGCACUUGCCCGGCCCAAUCACCAAAGAUCGACUUGCCUCCUUAGAAAUGAAAGCCGACUCAAAGCGAAAUUUAACGCAACUUGGAGGUCGAUCCGACAAAAAGAUGCCAUUGAGCAUGCAGUCGCACCAGGAACGUAAAAUUUCGAACAAAUCUGAGGCGUGGAACCGUGAUGCAGCAAAUGAUGGUCACAAUGAUAGUGCUAAUUGACAAUGAACACCAAGUCAGAGGAAAUGAUCUUCUCUGCUUCCUCACCCCCUGAUGCCUCAAAGGAUCAUGGUGAAUCUGGGCUGAUGCAGAAGAAGAAAUCCGAAAGGAGACGGACAGCAAAAACAAGCAAGAUUUGAAGAAUGAAAAAACAGGCUUUGAAUCUAAAAUGGUGAAAGAUGAGCUUUUGCAAGAGAAGACGGAUGAGAAGAAACAUAAAGAAUCAGAAAACGAAGAAAGGCAUGAUGGUAGGCUUGAUAAUGAGCAUGAAAAGCAUGAUAGAAGUGAUGAUCGGCACGAUAGAGCUAAUGACAGACCAUGACGAGAAACAAGAUGAUAGGAGAAAUAGAGAUGGGUCUCGACAAGCUUGGGGUGGCAGUGGUUACUCGGCUUACCGCGGCAGUUGGGUAGCGGAAUGCGAGGUGAACGAUCGCUUCCGAGAGGUAGUAGAGGUGGCCAGUCAGGCCGACACCAAGUGUCCAGAACCCGCAACAACCAAGACUGGGGCCGCUACGACUCUGGUGUAUCAAAUGAAGAUAUCUCUGCCUCAUCUGAGUCCAUCAAAGAAGAUCGACGCAGUGAAAAGAGGCCUGCAAAAUCUGCCCCCAGAAAAGUGAAAAAAGAAAGAAAUCGUGACACUCGUCGAUCAGAUGAGAAAGGAAACUAUCCUCCAUCAGAAGUUCGUCGGCAUGAUAACCGUGAUAGGAUGGGUUUUCGAAAUGAUACUUCCUUGGACGCGACAUGCCAAGGAGAGUCGUGGAGGAAGUUUCCGCCAGUCGAGUGGUACCGGCAGUCGAAGAAUAGACAGUUACGGUCCUGUGCAAGGCAAAACCUCCUUUGGAAGCCAACAGUCUCAAUCAAAUGAGGAAACUGAUAGAAAGUCGCAUGGUGACGAGAAAGAAGCUCUUAAAGAUUCACCGAAGAAUCAAGAAGUUGCAAAUACUAAUGAUGACAAAUCUAAACAAAAACAAGUACUGUCAGCUUCUAAUUCAGGUAGGAACUAAUGAAUUUUAAUGACACCAUUAGCAUGAUUUUCUUUUAGCUCUUUUAGCUUGCCAAAUUCUGCAUGAUUAAUAAUGUGUUACCCUUACUUUUUCUAUUUUCCUUUAUCUUGCUAGCACCAAAUUAUUAUUGAACCUGUUUUUGUUAUUUUUUGAUAUUUUGUUACUCAUUUUUUUUUGAAAUACACUUUUGUCAGAACCGUUGAUUUUUGUGUAAUUUAUUUAACUCCUGUAUCAAUCUUAUUUUUAUCCAGUUUGAAACCUCACAGUAGAAAUCCAGUUUUAAAAGUUGAGCAAAUAUUUUGUUAUUAUUAUUAUGUAUCAUCCUUUUGAGAUCAUCAAUACCAUCAAUAAUUAGAUUUUCAAUUGAGCAGCAUUAUGUCAACAAAGCCAGAAGGUAUGAUCAGGAGUACUAAAACCUGAUGAAACAGAUCCAUCAACCCACUGUUUCACAAAUUUGACUUAAUUUCUCUUGAAGUUCGUUUUGAUAGUUAAUGUUGUUUAUAUCAUCUAUGAGUUUUUUCCCCCCUAACUUCAGCAACCAUUUUUUACUCCUUCAUAACUGUUGUCGCUAGGAAUCAUUUAUUUUAACUAGUUUUUUUAUUUAUUUUCUGUACCGAUUUUUUCUCUGUGUCUUACUUUCUCGCCAAUGCUUUGCUCCUUUACUCUCUCUGUAAUUCUUAGAAAUUAAGCAUAUGUAAAGGGAAAAUUGUGAGGCUUAGAACGCCUCAACUGUUAAUUUUCCUCAUACCCUCCCUUCUCCUUAAAAUUCUUUUACAAGUUUGCUCACCUAUGCUGCUUAGCUUAUCCUGUUUGUUUGGUUUCUCUUCUGUUUAAAUGCUUUUUUUCUCUCCUCCUCCUCCUCUCCCCCCCCCCCCCCCCCUAUCCGUUAUACCGUUUACUCUAUUCUUACAUGAAAUUUUCUUGUGGUUUUUUCUUAUAUGUCGAAUAGAUUGUACAAAUGAUAAGUGAAUAGCAACCAAAUUGAUUUUUUUGCAACUUGGUAAAUAUCCCUCCCUGAAUCCAUCCUUUGACCUCUUCCUCCUCAUUAUUUUCAGAUGAUUAUUGUAUUAGCAAUACUUCAAAAGGUUAAUCAGUGAGUUUUCUGGGUACAAAGCUCCUUAAAACUCAAGCGAGUUAGUUUUCCUGAACUGCCUCUUUUAACAAAGUAGGUGGUAGCAGCUAUCUUAGAUACGCAGUUUCACAUCCAGUAGUUGCUUGUAAGAGAAACUAGCACACCUGAACUACUAUAACCCCUUUUUUGCAACUUAUUAUGCAAUAUUUUUUUAAUGUGCAUUAUUUUUUUUGUUGCGAUUAUUGCUUCGUCCAAUUCUCUUGUUCAAUUAUUUGAUGAGUGUUUUUUGCCUGAUUUAUGAAUCGUAGUGUCAUAACUUGCAUUUAUUUUGAAUCCCGCUCACACUCACAAUUUUCAACCAAAUCUCUAAGUCUCUAGUAAAAAGCUUGAACUUGCCAAGUUUUUUCCACCAUUCAUGUUUGAAAACAUUCUUCCGUGUUUCACCCUUAAGCUGUUGAAGAAAGUGUAGUUGAAGUUUGCAAAGUCUAAUAAUACUCAGAAGUAGACCUUGGUUCUUUGUAAACGUCCUCACCUGUCAUCUUUUGAUAUUGUAUGGACUCGUGCCCAAGAUAUUUUAAUGUCUUAAAAUUCUAUGAGAGCAGUGAAUUUUAAGUAGAGGUAAAGUUUAUUCUGAUUAAAUGCUGGCUAUGGAAAAAGGGGCAAGAGUUGUAAGCUAGGUCUUGUCGGAUUAUUCUUCAUUAAUGAGUUUCUGUAUCCUAAAAAGCUGAGAUUAAUCUCAUUUGACCAUGUUCCCAGCGCAGUGAUCUGCCUCCAGGUUUCUGGCUAGUUAGACAAUCAGUCUUCCCCCUCCCCUUUUUUUUCUUUCUUCUAAUCAUAAUUGAAUCAAAUACCUAUUAAUCUGUAAGAAAUUUUAUCUUGUUUUUUGAAACACUUGGACUAGAGAAAUAUGUUCUCUGGACUCUUUAUUUUCAGUUGCAUAUUUUUAACCUCAAUUCAUCGCAACUAUUCACUCCACAGGUUUUGAUACGUUGACAGUAUUAGUGAUAGAAUUCCUAUUUCUCUAAAUUAAAAUAUUACAGUUAUAUUCUAAAUUGUUCACUCCUAGAAUUCAAGUUGAUCUCUCAUUUUGAUGUGUCCUUCAAAAUUGGAGCCAAAGUAAGAUGGUGACACCUCUGAAAAUUUGAAGUACCUAAAUGAUGUUAGCCUAACUGCUUACCGGACUCUCUGACCGGAAGUCUUUGCUUACAGCGUCCUCAAGACUGUUUGGUUGUACUUGAAGAGGCCUUAUCCUCAGGAGCACGGUUUGCGGAACUUCAUGCAAACUUGUUCCCGGAACUUAUUAUAACUCGGUUUUAACUUAUUCAGCAGAACUCCAGUUUGUUGAACUGAUGCGCGGAAAGUUCCGCAAGCUGCGCGCGUGUGAAUAAGACCCUAUAGCUAUAAAAUUUUUAAUUUCUCUGAACAUAAAUGUUCAAGUACAUAAUUUUUCAAAAAUUUCUUGAAUAAUUUCUGACCAA
rnacentral:lncRNA from 1 species